GGGCCGGAGGAACAUGUUAGAAGAUUGGACGUCGGGCCGGUGGAUCGAUCGACGUAUCGACAGAAGGCUUCGGGCCGUGGACUCGAGCAUCGGGCCAAGAAGAGCGGGUAUUGUGCCAAGGAUAUCAGAGUUGCGGAGUCAACUGGCCGAUUGAGUAAUAGGCCACAGGAGAGGACGAUGCACGGACGAAGCGUCGAGGGACCAAUGACAUGCCUGACAACUUGGUUAAUUGUUUAGGAUUAAUUGUCUCGAUUGAAGUUUUGUUUUACAUGUGCAGGAUUAACUACGAUGGAAGUAAGACAUGCAGUAGGAGUUAUGCCGGAGUCAAGACUAUGAUCACGUUGGGGGUUCGAGAGUUCGACGGAAGUCCGGACGGUCGUCGGAAGUUCUACGGGAACAAAUCCGAGAAGUUCAGGAGCUUGCCAAAGAAGCUUAUCGGAACUUGCCAAGUGGAUUGUCGCAAGUCCAGGAGUUUGCCGGAAGUCCGUUGGAGCAUCGCCAAAGGUUCGUCGGAUGUUCGUCGGAAGAAGCGAUUGAUGCACUGGAGCAAGUGGCAGUAAAUGUCUUAAGAAAUAUCGUAGUUAGUAUGUAGAUUAAGUUAGGAAUGGGAGGUGAUCCCAUUAACUUAAUCUGGGGGCAAUUGGGCCCUUGAUAGAUCCAAAUUGGGCCGAAUGGAUCAACCCAUUUGGAUCAGAAUUUCGCGGUGGCACUACCAGGGUCGGCGGUGGCACCGUCCAGGAGAUGGUCUCCCAAGAAAGCUGGGCGGUGGCACCGCCUGGGCUCAGUCUCCGAGCGAGACUGGGUGGUGCAACCGCCUCUAUCAGGCGGUGGCACCGCCAGAGCUCGGUCUCCGAGCUUUGUCAGGCGGUUGUACCGCCCCAGUCAGGAGGUAGUACCGCCAGAACCCCGGAAAUCCGGGAAAUGACAUUUUUGAGCUCCAAAUUCAAACUAGUUUGGAGCCUAUAAAUACCCCUCCUAUCCCUGGGUAAAACACACAAGCACAGAGAGAUUAAAAGAGAGAAAGCGCUGCUGCAAUCUCUAGAAUUUCCCUCCUCUAGCUUAAGUGUUAGAAUUCUGUUUAAGAGAGGAGAGUGAGUACUUGUAAGGGUUGUCUCCUAAACUCGGUAAAAGGAGAAGAGGGGUGUAAGAAGGAGGUUGAUCUUCGCCUAGUAAUGGAAGAUCGUUAGUGGAUGCCGGUGGCCUCGAC
rnacentral:lncRNA from 1 species